rnacentral:rRNA from 1 species
UACGUAGGGUGCGAGCGUUAAUCGGAAUUACUGGGCGUAAAGGGUGCGCAGGCGGUUAUAUAAGACAGAUGUGAAAUCCCCGGGCCCAACCUGGGAACUGCGUUUGUGACUGUAUGACUAGAGUACGGUAGAGAGGGGUGGAAUUCCUGGUGUAGCAGUGAAAUGCGUAGAUACUGGGAGGAACACCAGUGGCGAAGGCGGCUACCUGGACCGGUUCUGACGCUGAGGCGCGAAAGCGUGGGUAGCAAACAGG